GGGCUUCAGCUUGGUGGUAGAACAUCUGCUUUGCAUGCAGAAGGUCCCAGGUUCGUCCAAUCCCCAGCAUCUCCA